CUCCUAUCCCUCUAGCGAGUCUUUCCUCAUCACUUGCAGCUCCAUGCUUCAAGCCUUCCUCAAUGUUCCUGCCUCUGAAGUACCCUUCAAAGGAGCCAAUCCUCCCGAGAGUCGAGGCGUGCCAAUGAGGGGCUUGGGGUGGGACGGCGGCCGCCGAGCUGCCUGCCCUGUGCUCCUGGCCACCCGGCCCCUGCAGGUGGGCUGCCUGCGCCGCGGGGCAGUGAUGCUGCCGAUACCAGACCUGGUCUUAAGGAGCUCUGUCGCAUAGCUCUCCAAACCUCUUGCUUUUAUAGAGCAAGGGAAAAGUUAAAAUCUGAUCAGCUGGCCUACUGUCACCACAGGGAGAGUGGUGCACAAGCAGAGACUGCAUUUUUCCUCCAGAUUUCAGUGAGAAUUCAGGCAGAUUAGAUCAUCCCCCCCCCCCGUCUUCUCUUUUCACACACAUGUACAACUGUGCCUGGCCACACACUGAAAAAAUGAAUAGGCUUGCCAGCCAGCUGACAGCAUUACAACAAACCUUGUGAUCCACCUCGAGAUUGUCUGGGAUAGGACAGUUUGACUCUCCAGUUUCCAGAUAUAACAAGACAAGGAAAAGACUGGCCUGUUGAGGCAGCAAAGCAAAGUUUGGGAUGCACCCUGACAACACAAUUAGAAAUGCUAACUGAUGAAGUGACAGACUGCUCAGGUGGAAUUCACCCUUGUGGACCAUUUUUUAGGCAGUUUCAUCACCAACUGGUCCCGGCAGAAAGAGAUCAUUGAAUCAUUUUUAGGGAUGGAGGACACAGAAAUUAUUUAGCUGUUUGAUGGGACACUCUGAAAUGCACUUUACCACCAGGAGAAUUCGGGAAUUGGGAUCUGUUUUCAUAGAUUUUUCCAGGAUAUGCACUCUCAUCCUACCAUCUCUGACAAAUUAUAGGCAUAUCAUGCAUCUUGUUUCACAUACCGAAUGCUUGCAGGUAGAAAAGGGAAUGAGGAUUCCCAUUCUUCCACGUAUUGUCAGACAGUAAGCAAGCCAACUCUGCACGAUUAGACUCUCCUGCUAGGGAAUGCCAUACGUCAGAUCUGACCUGCAAAGUGGCCAGGAGAGUGAGAAUGUCACGAGGAUUCUCAAAAGAUGUUUGCAGAAACAAAGAAUCUCCCAUUUGUUUGCUACAGGAUUUCCAUCUGCCUUUCUCUGUAUCUGCGCAGUGGACAAUGCGAGGAGUUGAGCAUGCUGCAUUACUACUUUUCCUUAUAAAGACUUCUGGGUUAGUGAAUGAUGACACUACGAAACACAUGAAAGGAAGAGUGAUCUGCUGGCACCAAAUCAUAAAUUUUCUGGAAAGUUUUGAUGAAAGUUAAUGAGAAAUACAUGCAGUCAUGGUCAGAUUAGCCAAUAUUGACUCUCUUGGACUAGUUACCAGAUGAAAUCAUGCCCUGGAAUGCAGUCUGCUUUGCCAGAAACAUUAUUUCUUUCUGGAAUUCAAUUUUUCAACCCAGGAAACAACCACAUACUGUCUAAAUUGGAAAUACCAGACAAGAGUGUCACGUUUUAAGCAUGUACUGGAAGUUGAAGUAAAACGGAAAACAAACAACCCUUAUGCCUCUUUACCUAGCUCUGUCAGUUUAUCCAAAUAUUCCUUCCAGGGCUGCAAAAUAAAAGGCUAACACCUUUAAAGACCUGGCUGACUUCCAGCACUGACAGAAGUCAUGCCUGGCCUAUUCUGCUCUGCUGCCAUGCUCUCUUCAACCUGAGGGGUCUUCCAGCAUGGCACCAGUGGGGAACACAUAAAGAGUGAAUUUCUCUUGACCCUGAUUCAGAGAAACAUCAGAGCUUAUCACAGUCCCAUCCCCACUUGGAGUAGAGAGCCUUUAAGCGGUUAAAUAAGGAUAUUGCACAGGGAAGAUUGCCGGUAAACUGCCUGUGAAGAACACUGCAAACAACAGCAUGCUACUUCUGGUCACCUAUUCAGAAAAAUCAAAGCCCAAAGGUUUGCCAGGUUGUUCUACAUCUAUUUGCGUGAAUGGGAAGUAAUUUACAGGUCGAGGAUGAGAGAAAGAGCUAGAGACACUGGGAACUUGUUGGUGCAGUGGCCCUGCCCCGCAAAGCAACAUCCACAGAAAACAUUUGGGACUUUGCUUUGGCUUUGGCCUCCCUUCCUGGACUGCAUCUCCGGCAGGGCCCUCUCUUCCUGAACUGUUACCAAGAAAGGAGCGUUAAUUGGCUUCAUUAUUUAGCCUUAAUGUAGAAUGCUCACCACUUAUGCUGAUGCUUGUCAGCACUAUCUGUGAAGUUCAAAGUGAGUCCUUAUGGGUGGAGAUGAGCUUCUGUACAAGCAGCAGCCCUCCUUUGCUCACCUCUGGGACCUUCUCCCGGCACAGCACCAAGAACAGCUGAGCUGUUCUCUCAGACCUACUUUUUACGGAGCUGUCUUGCCAGCCUUACACCCCUACAGAGCCAUUUUGCCAAAGAAGCCAGGAACAGAACUAAUCUAUGCUCAUAUGUAUUGCUUUUGUAUUUUCCAGUGCUAGGCAUUUACAGACAGACCUUUGUGACAAGUUUAUUCCUUCAUAUGUUUAUAUCCUAAGCAAAUGCUAACAGGAUAAAUGUGCUGUCUGCUUCAAUCCCUGCUUGCCUAUUUCUCUCCAAAAUAGUUCUGCAGGAUCUGAGUGCUCUCUAUGGCAAGCUGGUUGUCUGGUAUGUUUAUCUCCCAACUGAACACUGGCGAAUACAAAAAUGACACGCCACCUUUUUGCAGGAAGAAAUAAACUGAGCUUCAGUCUGUCUUUGCCCUUUG